GUUGGCCAGCCUGGUUUUGAACACCUGACCUCGAGUGAUCCGCAUGCCUUGGCCUUUCAAAGUGCUAGGAUUAGAGGUGUGAGGCACCGCUCCUGGCCUCA